UAAAGAUAUUAGGAGAGACUUUGUCAGAUGCCUUGCUGAAACCCAGGAAUAUAUGUUGUCUUUUCCUGAUUUAACAUUCUAGUAACCCCAUCAAUGGAGAGCACCUCAAACUCAGGAUACCCAAGACGGAAGCUCCUGAAAAGAAUUCACACAUCUUUCUGGAAUGGAGGGAAGGACCAAGAAGAUAACCUUAAACUGUCAUCUAAAAUGAGACCUUUAUUUGCAAAGUUAUGUUUGCUUAUACUGUCCUGAUAGUCUGAAUCAUUGGCUCUGUUCUCAAUAAAGUACAGAAGAUGGAUAGCUUGAGCA
rnacentral:lncRNA from 1 species